rnacentral:rRNA from 1 species
UGGAUCCAGACUUUGAUCCUGGCUCAGGACGAACGCUGGCGGCGCGCCUAACACAUGCAAGUCGAACGGGGCUGUCUCAUCAGAAGUUUUCGGAUGGACGAGGGGACAGCUUAGUGGCGAACGGGUGAGUAACACGUGAGCAACCUGCCCUUCAGAGGGGGACAACAGCUGGAAACGGCUGCUAAUACCGCAUAAGACCCCGGUACCGCAUGGUGCAGGGAUCAAAGGAGAAAUCCGCUGAGGGAUGGGCUCGCGUCCGAUUAGGCAGUUGGCGGGGUAACGGCCCACCAAACCGACGAUCGGUAGCCGGACUGAGAGGUUGAACGGCCACAUUGGGACUGAGACACGGCCCAGACUCCUACGGGAGGCAGCAGUGGGGAAUAUUGCACAAUGGGGGAAACCCUGAUGCAGCGACGCCGCGUGAGGGAAGAAGGUUUUCGGAUUGUAAACCUCUGUCUUCGGGGACGAAGUAAGUGACGGUACUCGAGGAGGAAGCCACGGCUAACUACGUGCCAGCAGCCGCGGUAAAACGUAGGUGGCAAGCGUUGUCCGGAAUUACUGGGUGUAAAGGGAGCGCAGGCGGAGCUGUAAGUUGGGCGUCAAAUCUACGGGCUUAACCCGUAACCGCGCUCAAAACUGCGGCUCUUGAGUAGUGCAGAGGCAGGCGGAAUUCCCGGUGUAGCGGUGGAAUGCGUAGAUAUCGGGAGGAACACCAGUGGCGAAGGCGGCCUGCUGGGCACCAACUGACGCUGAGGCUCGAAAGCAUGGGUAGCAAACAGGAUUAGAUACCCUGGUAGUCCAUGCCGUAAACGAUGAUUACUAGGUGUGGGGAGAUUGACCCUCUCCGUGCCGCAGUUAACACAAUAAGUAAUCCACCUGGGGAGUACGGCCGCAAGGCUGCAACUCAAAUGAAUUGACGGA